UACAGAGGUUGCGAGCGUUAAUCGGAUUUACUGGGCGUAAAGCGUGCGUAGGAGGCUUGCUAAGUCGGUUGUGAAAUCCCCGGGCUUAACCUGGGAAUUGCAGUCGAUACUGGCGAGCUAGAGUUCGGUAGAGGGCAGCGGAACUCCAGGUGUAGCGGUGAAAUGCGUAGAUAUCUGGAAGAACACCGAUGGCGAAGGCAACUGCCUGGGCCUGGACUGACUCUGAGGCACGAAAGCGUGGGGAGCAAACAGG
rnacentral:misc_RNA from 1 species